UCCUACGGGUGGCAGCAGUAGGGAAUAUUAGUAAUGGGCGAAAGCCUGAACUAGCAACGCCGCGUGUGCGAAGAAGGCCUUCGGGUUGUAAAGCACUUUUUGAGAGGAUGAGGAAGGACGGUACUCUCAGAAUAAGUCUCGGCUAACUACGUGCCAGCAGCCGCGGUAACACGUAGGAGGCAAACGUUAUCCGGAUUUACUGGGCGUAAAGCGCGUGUAGGUGGUUUGGUAAGUAGGGCGUGAAAGCUCCUGGCUCAACUGGGAGAGGACGUUCUAAACUGCCAAGCUUGAGGAUGGUAGAGGGAGGUGGAAUUCCGGGUGUAGCGGUGGAAUGCGCAGAUAUCCGGAGGAACACCAGUGGCGAAGGCGGCCUCCUGGACCACUCCUGACACUCAGACGCGAAAGCUAGGGUAGCAAACGGGAUUAGAUACCCCGGUAGUCGA
rnacentral:rRNA from 1 species